rnacentral:rRNA from 1 species
GAUGAACGCUGGCGGCGUGCCUAAUACAUGCAAGUCGAGCGAACAGACGAGGAGCUUGCUCCUCUGACGUUAGCGGCGGACGGGAGAGUAACACGUGGAUCACCUACCUAUCAUACUGGGAUCACUUCGGGAAACCGGCGCUAAUACCGGAUAAUAUAUUGCACCGCAUGGUUCAAUGGUGAAUGACGGUUUUGCUGUCUGUUCUCGCUGGUUCCGCGCCGCAUUAGCUGGUUGGUAAGGUAACGGGUUACCACGGCAAGGAGGCGUAGACCAACUGUGGGGGGGGUCGGCCACAUUGGAACGGGGCCACGGUCCAGACGCCUGAGGGAGGCAGCAGUAGGCAAUGUUCCGCAAUGGGGGAAAGCCUGACGGAGCAACGCCGCGUGAGUGAUGAAGGUCUUCGGAUCGUAAAACUCUGUUAUUAGGGAAGAACAAAUGUGUAAGUAACUAUGCACGUCUUGACGGUACCGAAUCAGAAAGCCACGGCUAACUACGUG